rnacentral:lncRNA from 1 species
CUUGAAGUCGAUGUCUCACAUCACCUCAUUGUAGGUUUCGGGAUCAUCUCUAUGCUUCCUAUCUUUCAUGAGAAACUACUUUCUCUACAUCCUCUGUUAAGCAUACCCGAGUAUCUUUCUAGAGGAUUGGAGAUCUUACUAUGUGUACGAGCUGGAGGAGGAAUAUACGUCUACUGGCUCAUGAUGAAUAGAUUCUUAAGAUCCUGUAGCUCGUUGCUCUUUAGAGACACUCUCUUUGAGAUUGACUUUUCUUCCACUGCUUUAACUUGGUCAAACAAUUUCCAAGAAGAUAGUAUGUUGGGUCACGAUCACAUUGUGAUCCUUUCAGAAGGUAGUAUCCCAAACUCUUUUAGAAUGAGCUUUAUAGACCUAU